UAGGGAAUCUUCGGCAAUGGGGGGAACCCUGACCGAGCAACGCCGCGUGAGUGAAGAAGGUUUUCGGAUCGUAAAGCUCUGUUGUUAAGGAAGAAUGAGUGUGAGACUGGAAAGUUCAUACUGUGACGGUACUUAACCAGAAAGGGACGGCUAACUACGUGCCAGCAGCCGCGGUAAUACGUAGGUCCCGAGCGUUUUCCGGAUUUAUUGGGCGUAAAGCGAGCGCAGGCGGUUAGAUAAGUCUGAAGUUAAAGGCAGUGGCUCAACCAUUGUAGGCUUUGGAAACUGUUUAGCUUGAGUGCAGGAGGGGAGAGUGGAAUUCCAUGUGUAGCGGUGAAAUGCGUAGAUAUAUGGAGGAACACCGGUGGCGAAAGCGGCUCUCUGGUCUGUAACUGACGCUGAGGCUCGAAAGCGUGGGGAGCGAACAGG
rnacentral:rRNA from 1 species